GGGUGGUAAUGCCGGAUGCUCCAGUUGAUCGCAUGGUCUUCUGGGAAAGCCUUUGCGGCAUGGGAUGGGGUCGCGUCCUAUCAGCUUGAUGGCGGGGUAACGGCCCACCAUGGCUUCGACGGGUAGCCGGCCUGAGAGGGCGACCGGCCACAUUGGGACUGAGAUACGGCCCAGACUCCUACGGGAGGCAGCAGUGGGGAAUAUUGCACAAUGGGCGCAAGCCUGAUGCAGCGACGCCGCGUGAGGGAUGGAGGCCUUCGGGUUGUAAACCUCUUUUGUUAGGGAGCAAGGCAUUUUGUGUUGAGUGUACCUUUCGAAUAAGCACCGGCUAACUACGUGCCAGCAGCCGCGGUAAUACGUAGGGUGCAAGCGUUAUCCGGAAUUAUUGGGCGUAAAGGGCUCGUAGGCGGUUCGUCGCGUCCGGUGUGAAAGUCCAUCGCUUAACGGUGGAUCCGCGCCGGGUACGGGCGGGCUUGAGUGCGGUAGGGGAGACUGGAAUUCCCGGUGUAACGGUGGAAUGUGUAGAUAUCGGGAAAGAACACCA
rnacentral:rRNA from 1 species